rnacentral:rRNA from 1 species
GACGAACGCUGGCGGCGUGCUUAACACAUGCAAGUCGAACGGAAAGGCCCUGCUUUUGUGGGGUGCUCGAGUGGCGAACGGGUGAGUAAAACGUGAGUAACCUGCCCUUGACUUUGGGAUAACUUCAGGAAACUGGGGCUAAUACCGGAUAGGAGCUCCUGCUGCAUGGUGGGGGUUGGAAAGUUUCGGCGGUUGGGGAUGGACUCGCGGCUUAUCAGCUUGUUGGUGGGGUAGUGGCUUACCAAGGCUUUGACGGGUAGCCGGCCUGAGAGGGUGACCGGCCACAUUGGGACUAAGAUACGGCCCAGACUCCUACGGUAGGCAGCAGGGGGGAAUAUUGCACAAUGGGCGGAAGCCUGAUGCAGCAACGCCGCGUGCGGGAUGACGGCCUUCGGGGUGUAAACCGCUUUCGCCUGUGACGAAGCGUGAGUGACGGUAAUGGGUAAAGAAGCACCGGCUAACUACGUG